UUACGUGUUUAGUUUCCGAACGUGUGUGUCGGGUGUGAUUUUACUUGUUUCGGUGGUAAACCCCGUUUGGGCCUUCUCGCUAUCGCGGGGUGUUAUCCGAACAAGCUACUUGGUUCAAAAUCCGUUAGUGUGAGUGUGCGAUAUAUCUUGCUCGACUUCGACUCCGUCUUUUCAAAACUCACUCAUCACUCGAUCUUAUUAAAAUCAACAACUUAUAUUUCUCCACGCAAUAUAAUUUGUUAAAAUUGAACCAACGAUUUAAACCACCAUACUAAAACGUUAUUAUCGACAAAUCUCAACGUGGUUAAAAUUGGACUAAAACUUGCGGAACCAAAACUUUUAUAAAACAAGGAUAUAUUUGUUUGUGGAUAUUGUGUUCUAACUUUUGCAGUGAGGUGAAGUGAAGUGAGGUGAUCUUCGUUCUAAGACCCAAGUCUUUGACGUAUUGACGGGGAGUUGAUAGUCAUCGCACCGUGAGGAAGAGGAAAGACCCAAUACCUAAUACCUAAGAUCCAAGACCGGCGAAAGGUUUAGAAGUACAAAGACCACUGGAGGUGCAACGACUUUGAGGAAGUAACGAGGAUAGUUACGUUCCGAGACAAGUCUUGUUAUUUACAUUUAUAGUGAGGAGGUAACGAAGAGUUACGCUCCAAGAUAUAUAUUUGUAAAGGCUUCUCCGCCUACUGUAAAGGAGUUCUUU
rnacentral:lncRNA from 1 species